rnacentral:lncRNA from 1 species
UCACUAUUGGAUAAGUUGCGAAAUGAUUAAACAAUUUAUUAAGAAUAACUCUAUGAAUUCUCUAUAUGCUUGAUUGAGAGUUUUUAUCCAUGGCAUUAUUGUUUAAAUGAUAAUGUGUACUUGGUAUGCUUUUGAAUAUAUGCACUAUGAAUACCAAGAUUAAAGAAACCAUCUUUGGCAUAUAAAAUCAACUCAUGCUAGUAUGUACUUAAUCUCAAAAGACCUUGUCAUUGCCUUACUUAGAUUAUCUUCUAAAAGGUCAAAGCUU